AUUGAACGCUAGCGGGAGGCCUUACACAUGCAAGUCGAACGGAGUGGCGAACGGGUGAGUAAUGUAUCGGAACGUGCCCAGUAGCGGGGGAUAAAUACGCGAAAGCGUAGCUAAUACCGCAUACUAUUGGAGCGGCCGAUAUCGGAUUAGCUAGUUGGUGGGGUAGCGGCUCACCAAGGCGACGAUCCGUAGCUGGUUUGAGAGGACGACCAGCCACACUGGGACUGAGACACGGCCCCGACUCCUACGGGAGGCAGCAGUGGGGAAUUUUGGACAAUUGGGGAAACCCUGAUCCAGCCAUCCCGCUUGUGCGAUGAAGGCCUUCGGGUUGUAAAGCACUUUUAGCAAGAAAGCGGUACCUGCAGAAUAAGCACCGGCUAACUACGUGCCAGCAGCCGCAGUAAUUC
rnacentral:rRNA from 1 species